GCAAAGACCAUAAAAAACCAGAAGAAGAAGUAACUGAUUAACCUUUUUGACGUUGCUUUUUUAGGUUUUGAAGUUUCACUUAAUAAUGAGGAUUUUUCAAGCUUUAUUCCGUCGUAAAAAUAUGCCAAAUGGUCACAUAUACAGAGGCAAAAAUAAAAUAAUUAAAGAAGUAACGAUUGCGGACAUUCAAAAAUUAAAAACUCAAUUUGAAAUAGAGGAACAAAAUAUGUUUUACCUAAGGCAUGCCUAUCUCACACCUGAACAGUCCGCGGGGCAUGCCAGAGCAUUGGGCAAGAACGAAGAGAACUUCAUCAAAACCAAGACGAAACAAAAACCUUUUUUUGAACACGUUACCAUCGAAUCUAGGCUAGCUCACUUGAGAGUGAAUGAAGCAUGGGACUGAAUAUUUUGUUGAAAAAAUUGAAAUAAUAGUCCAGAGUAGUGAUAGUUUUAUGGUAAUAAAUAAAACAAAAUUGAAAGUAAUUGUUCAU